GUUGAAAUACCGGUUCUUGUAAAAUCACCAAAGUUAAGCAAUGUUGAGCCUAGUCAGUACCUAGAUGGAUUACCACUUAGGAAUACCAGGUGCUGUAAU